rnacentral:rRNA from 1 species
CCUGGCUCAGGACGAACGCUGGCGGCGCGCCUAACACAUGCAAGUCGAACGAGCGAGAGAGAGCUUGCUUUCUCAAGCGAGUGGCGAACGGGUGAGUAACGCGUGAGGAACCUGCCUCAAAGAGGGGGACAACAGUUGGAAACGACUGCUAAUACCGCAUAAGCCCACGGGUCGGCAUCGACCAGAGGGAAAAGGAGCAAUCCGCUUUGAGAUGGCCUCGCGUCCGAUUAGCUAGUUGGUGAGGUAACGGCCCACCAAGGCAACGAUCGGUAGCCGGACUGAGAGGUUGAACGGCCACAUUGGGACUGAGACACGGCCCAGACUCCUACGGGAGGCAGCAGUGGGGAAUAUUGCACAAUGGGGGAAACCCUGAUGCAGCGACGCCGCGUGGAGGAAGAAGGUCUUCGGAUUGUAAACUCCUGUUGUUGAGGAAGAUAAUGACGGUACUCAACAAGGAAGUGACGGCUAACUACGUGCCAGCAGCCGCGGUAAAACGUAGGUCACAAGCGUUGUCCGGAAUUACUGGGUGUAAAGGGAGCGCAGGCGGGAAGACAAGUUGGAAGUGAAAUCUAUGGGCUCAACCCAUAAACUGCUUUCAAAACUGUUUUUCUUGAGUAGUGCAGAGGUAGGCGGAAUUCCCGGUGUAGCGGUGGAAUGCGUAGAUAUCGGGAGGAACACCAGUGGCGAAGGCGGCCUACUGGGCACCAACUGACGCUGAGGCUCGAAAGUGUGGGUAGCAAACAGGAUUAGAUACCCUGGUAGUCCACACCGUAAACGAUGAUUACUAGGUGUUGGAGGAUUGACCCCUUCAGUGCCGCAGUUAACACAAUAAGUAAUCCACCUGGGGAGUACGACCGCAAGGUUGAAACUCAAAGGAAUUGACGGGGGCCCGCACAAGCAGUGGAGUAUGUGGUUUAAUUCGACGCAACGCGAAGAACCUUACCAAGUCUUGACAUCCCUUGACGAACAUAGAAAUAUGUUUUCUCUUCGGAGCAAGGAGACAGGUGGUGCAUGGUUGUCGUCAGCUCGUGUCGUGAGAUGUUGGGUUAAGUCCCGCAACGAGCGCAACCCUUACUGUCAGUUACUACGCAAGAGGACUCUGGCAGGACUGCCGUUGACAAAACGGAGGAAGGUGGGGAUGACGUCAAAUCAUCAUGCCCUUUAUGACUUGGGCUACACACGUACUACAAUGGCGUUAAACAAAGAGAAGCAAGACCGCGAGGUGGAGCAAAACUCAGAAACAACGUCCCAGUUCGGACUGCAGGCUGCAACUCGCCUGCACGAAGUCGGAAUUGCUAGUAAUCGUGGAUCAGCAUGCCACGGUGAAUACGUUCCCGGGCCUUGUACACACCGCCCG